rnacentral:rRNA from 1 species
GAUGAACGCUGGCGGCGUGCUUAACACAUGCAAGUCGAACGAAGCACUCUAUUUGAUUUUCUUCGGAAAUGAAGAUUUUGUGACUGAGUGGCGGACGGGUGAGUAACGCGUGGGUAACCUGCCUCAUACAGGGGGAUAACAGUUGGAAACGACUGCUAAUACCGCAUAAGCGCACAGGAUCGCAUGAUCCGGUGUGAAAAACUCCGGUGGUAUGGGAUGGACCCGCGUCUGAUUAGCCAGUUGGCAGGGUAACGGCCUACCAAAGCGACGAUCAGUAGCCGACCUGAGAGGGUGACCGGCCACAUUGGGACUGAGACACGGCCCAAACUCCUACGGGAGGCAGCAGUGGGGAAUAUUGCACAAUGGGGGAAACCCUGAUGCAGCGACGCCGCGUGAGCGAAGAAGUAUUUCGGUAUGUAAAGCUCUAUCAGCAGGGAAGAAGAAUGACGGUACCUGACUAAGAAGCACCGGCUAAAUACGUGCCAGCAGCCGCGGUAAUACGUAUGGUGCAAGCGUUAUCCGGAUUUACUGGGUGUAAAGGGAGCGCAGGCGGUGCGGCAAGUCUGAUGUGAAAGCCCGGGGCUCAACCCCGGUACUGCAUUGGAAACUGUCGUACUAGAGUGUCGGAGGGGUAAGUGGAAUUCCUAGUGUAGCGGUGAAAUGCGUAGAUAUUAGGAGGAACACCAGUGGCGAAGGCGGCUUACUGGACGAUACUGACGCU